CCUACGGGAGGCAGCAGUGAGGAAUAUUGGUCAAUGGACGAGAGUCUGAACCAGCCAAGUAGCGUGAAGGAUGACUGCCCUAUGGGUUGUAAACUUCUUUUAUAAAGGAAUAAAACGAGGCACGUGUGCCUUUUUGCAUGUACUUUAUGAAUAAGGAUCGGCUAACUCCGUGCCAGCAGCAGCGGUAAUACGGAGGAUCCGAGCGUUAUCCGGAUUUAUUGGGUUUAAAGGGAGCGUAGAUGGGUUGUUAAGUCAGUUGUGAAAGUUUGCGGCUCAACCGUAAAAUUGCAAUUGAUACUGGCAGUCUUGAGUACAGUUGAGGUAGGCGGAAUUCGUGGUGUAGCAGUGAAAUGCUUAGAUAUCACGAAGAACCCCGAUUGCGAAGGCAGCUUACUAAACUGUGACUGACAUUGAUGCUCGAAAGUGUGGGUAUCAAACAGGAUUAGAUACCCGGGUAGUC
rnacentral:rRNA from 1 species